CCGGAAGGACGACCUUCCACCUCAAUUCAUCACCCGCGGGGACGGCCCUG
rnacentral:ncRNA from 1 species